GGAAGUGAUGUUCUACUCCGCGCUCGCCUCCUGCUGUACGGAAGCCGGCUGGAGCCUAACUUGCUGGUACUGUGAGUGUUGUGUCCUACAAAUCAGGUGUCACCUUAUCUCAAAUCAAGUAAAUCUCUGGAUUACGUUAAUCUCUGGAUUACUUUAAUCUCUGGUUUACAUUAAAGUCUAGUCUCAGCUGUGCUUUGGAAAGUUUGAAUAGGCAUGGGACUCCUUCUGCAUGAAAGAACGACUGAAGAGGAGCACCAUCCCAGAGAAGUGUUAGUGGCAAGAACCAGCAUGGUAGAAGAAGAGAACCUAGUCCUGCAAGUUAGCCUGGAUCUGUCCAUGCCCUGUCCAGAUACACAUAGGAAGCACAGCAAAACUUCCUAAAGUAAAAGGGAUGACCAUCUGGCAUGGACAACCUACUGAUGUGCCCUUCCCUGGAGAAGUUCACGUCUUUCUGCGCUCAUCUUUCCUCAGUUUCCGUAGCGUUGAGGCCUUGUGAACUUUUCCUCAUCCAGUUUGGCUCAUUCAUUGGUGUCCUCCUUGUUCAGCUCACGCAUUGGCAGUCAUGUUGGUGAGACUUUUAACGGUGAAGCUUCUGACAUUGCUAAGAGACACAAUCUUACGGACUCCCUGAUGCUUCCACAUGAGUCUUAAUUAAGAUUGCUCUUUUGGUGACGAAUGACAUCGGAAUUUUGGUAGAGAUUUUAUUGAAUAUUAAAGAUACUAAAGAUUUCACUGAAGGCUAGAUUUAGUAGCUUAGCCAUUUUCAUGUUAGUUCUUCCAGUCUCUGAACAUGGGAGUCUUUCUAUCUUCUAGUGUUUUUCAGUUUUUUUAGUGUUUGUAAAUUUCUCUUCAGGUGGGUUUCUUAUGAGGUAUUUUAUUUUUGUAUAUGCAUUUGGCAAUUGUGAGUAUGAUUGUUUCCCUGAUUUCUUCCUCAGCACACUUGUUACUGAUAUGUAAGACAGCUGUUGGUUUUUAUAUUCUAAUUUUUAUUAUCUCUCUAAAGUGUUAAUCAGAUCUAAGUAUUUUCUGGUUGUCCUAGUUAGGGUUUCUAUUGCUGUGCUGAAAAGCCAUGACCAAAUGCAAGUUGGAGAGGAAAGGGCUCAUUUGGCUUGUGUUUCCAUAUCACUGUUCAUCACUGAAGGAAGUCAGGACAGGAACUCAAACAGGGCAGGAACCUGGAGGCAGGAGCUGAUGCAGAGGCCAUGGAGGGUGCUGCUUACUGGCUUGCUCCUCAUGGCUUGCUCAGCCUGCUUUCUUACAGAACCCAGGACCACCAGCCCCGGGAUGGGACCAUCCAUAAUGGGCUUCAGUCUCCCCAUCAAUCACUAAUUAAGAAAAUUACCCACACGGGCUUGCCUACAGCACAGCUUUAUGGAGACUUCCUCAUUUGGAGUUCCCUCCUUUCAGAUGAUUCUAGCUUCUAUCAAGUUGAAAUAAUAAAAGUAGCAAGCACUCUGGUGGGUUUUUUUUCUAUUUCUUAUGUAUAGAAUC